UACGUAGGGUGCGAGCGUUAAUCGGAAUUACUGGGCGUAAAGCGUGCGCAGGCGGUUAUGCAAGACAGAUGUGAAAUCCCCGGGCUCAACCUGGGAACUGCAUUUGUGACUGCAUGGCUAGAGUAAGGUAGAGGGGGAUAGAAUUCCGCGUGUAGCAGUGAAAUGCGUAGAUAUGCGGAGGAACACCGAUGGCGAAGGCAGUCCCCUGGACCAGUACUGACGCUCAUGCACGAAAGCGUGGGGAGCAAACAGG
rnacentral:rRNA from 1 species